CCUACGGGUGGCAGCAGUCGAGAAUCAUUCACAAUGGGGGAAACCCUGAUGGUGCGACGCCGCGUGGGGGAAUGAAGGUCUUCGGAUUGUAAACUCCUGUCAUGUGGGAGAAAAUUAAAAAGAUACUACCACAAGAGGCAGAGACGGCUAACUUUGUGCCAGCAGCCGCGGUAAUACAGGGGUCUCAAGCGUCGUUCGGAAUCACUGGGCGUAACGCGUGCGUAGGGUGUUUCGUAAGUCGUGUGUAAAAGCGGCGGGCUCAACCCGCGGACGGAACAUAAUACUGCGAGAGUAGAGUAAUGGGGGGGGAACCGAAAUUCUAGGGGUAGCAGUGAAAUGGG
rnacentral:rRNA from 1 species